rnacentral:rRNA from 1 species
ACGCUCGACACCUACGGAAGGCAGCAGUGGGGAAUAUUGCACAAUGGGGGAAACCCUGAUGCAGCGACGCCGCGUGGAGGAAGAAGGUCUUCGGAUUGUAAACUCCUGUUGUUGGGGAAAAAGAGGAUGGUACCCAACAAGGAAGUGACGGCUAACUACGUGCCAGCAGCCGCGGUAAUCUGAGGCGGGCGUGGACGAAGGC